rnacentral:tRNA from 1 species
GGGGGUAUAGUUCGGUUGUAGAGCACAUGCUUAGCAUGCAUGAGGUCCUGGGUUAAAUCCCCAGUACCUCUA